AUGAACGCUGGCGGCGUGCCUAAUACAUGCAAGUCGAGCGCACGGACGAGAAGCUUGCUUCUCUGAUGUUAGCGGCGGACGGGUGAGUAACACGUGGAUAACCUACCUAUAAGACUGGGAUAACUUCGGGAAACCGGAGCUAAUACCGGAUAAUAUUUUGAACCGCAUGGUUCAAAAGUGAAAGACGGUCUUGCUGUCUCUUAUAGAUGGAUCCGCGCUGCAUUAGCUAGUUGGUAAGGUAACGGCUUACCAAGGCAACGAUGCAUAGCCGACCUGAGAGGGUGAUCGGCCACACUGGAACUGAGACACGGUCCAGACUCCUACGGGAGGCAGCAGUAGGGAAUCUUCCGCAAUGGGCGAAAGCCUGACGGAGCAACGCCGCGUGAGUGAUGAAGGUCUUCGGAUCGUAAAACUCUGUUAUUAGGGAAGAACAUAUGUGUAAGUAACUGUGCACAUCUUGACGGUACCUAAUCAGAAAGCCACGGCUAACUACGUG
rnacentral:rRNA from 1 species